rnacentral:rRNA from 1 species
AGUGAACGCUGGCGAUAGGCCUAACACAUGCCAGUCGAACGGCAGCACAGUAAGAGCUUGCUCUUACGGGUGGCGAGUGGCGGACGGGUGAGGAAUACAUCGGAAUCUACUUUUUCGCGGGGGAUAACGUAGGGAAACUUACGCUAAUACCGCAUACGACCUACGGGUGAAAGCAGGGGAUCUUCGGACCUUGCGCGAUUGAAUGAGCCGAUGUCGGAUUAGCUAGUUGGCGGGGUAAAGGCCCACCAAGGCGACGAUCCGUAGCUGGUCUGAGAGGAUGAUCAGCCACACUGGAACUGAGACACGGUCCAGACUCCUACGGGAGGCAGCAGUGGGGAAUAUUGGACAAUGGGCGCAAGCCUGAUCCAGCCAUACCGCGUGGGUGAAGAAGGCCUUCGGGUUGUAAAGCCCUUUUGUUGGGAAAGAAAAGCAGCAGGUUAAUACCCCGCUGUUCUGACGGUACCCAAAGAAUAAGCACCGGCUAACUUCGUG